GUGUUCGCUUUGGCAGUACGUGUACUAAAAUUGGAAUGAUACAGAGAAAAUUAGCAUGGUCCCUGUGCAAGGAUGACAUGCAAAUUCAUAAAGCGUUCUAUAUUUAA
rfam:Tupaia chinensis contig30008, whole genome shotgun sequence.